AACGCAAAUUCACAGCCAUUCGCAGCGCAUAACAGCAUUUCCUCGAGGUCGAACUCCUCAGGGACGUUCUUGGCCCAUGACAAGUGUAGAUAUUGUGCUGCUCUUUCUUUGGAAGAAUUUUUAGCUUGGACUGGAGAACAAACUCAGAGAUCUUGGGUGCGACGGUCCAUCAGUUGUCUGUUUUUAUAGCAGAUCUAAGGGUUUUGCCUUCGUGCGCCCGUAUGGGGAUUGUUGCAAUGAUCACUGGAACAUCA
rnacentral:snoRNA from 1 species